CGCGGUAAUUCCAGCUCCAAUAGCGUAUAUUAAAGUUGUUGUGGUUAAAAAGCUCGUAGUUGAACCUUGGGCCUGGCUGGCCGGUCCCCCUCACCGGGUGCACUGAUCCAGCCGGGCCUUUCCCUCUGUGGAACCCCAUGGCCUUCACUGGCUGUGGCGGGGAAACAGGACUUUUACUUUAAAAAAAUUAGAGUGCUCCAGGCAGGCCUAUGCUCGAAUACAUUAGCAUGGAAUAAUAGAAUAGGCCGUGUGGUUCUAUUUUGUUGGUUUCUAGGACCGCCGUAAUGAUUAAUAGGGACAGUCGGGGGCAUCAGUAUUCAAUUGUCAGAGGUGAAAUUCUUGGAUCUAUUGAAGAC
rnacentral:rRNA from 1 species